CACGUAGGGCGCGAGCGUUGUCCGGAAUUAUUGGGCGUAAAGAGCUCGUAGGCGGCCUGUUGCGUCCGCUGUGAAAGCCCGGGGCUUAACCCCGGGUCGGCAGUGGAUACGGGCAGGCUAGAGGUAGGUAGGGGAGAAUGGAAUUCCCGGUGUAGCGGUGAAAUGCGCAGAUAUCGGGAGGAACACCGGUGGCGAAGGCGGUCUCUGGGC
rnacentral:rRNA from 1 species